rnacentral:rRNA from 1 species
CAGCAGCCGCGGUAAUCCGGAGGGGGCUAGCGUUGUUCGGAAUUACUGGGCGUAAAGCGCGCGUAGGCGGCUUUUUAAGUCAGAGGUGAAAGCCCGGAGCUCAACUCCGGAACUGCCUUUGAGACUGGAAGGCUUGAACGUCGGAGAGGUGAGUGGAAUUCCGAGUGUAGAGGUGAAAUUCGUAGAUAUUCGGAAGAACACCAGUGGCGAAGGCGGCUCACUGGACGACUGUUGACGCUGAGGUGCGAAAGCGUGGGGAGCAAACAGGAUUAGAUACCCGCGUAGUCCCUGUCUCUUAUAU